AAAAGAAGGUCAAAGCCAAUAAGAAGAGAGAAAAAGCAACCCCACCAGCGGCAGAUUGUCUUUUCUCAAGUGAAGCCACACACAGCCCCAGGUCCUUGAGGGAGAUGGAGGGACACACCAUCAGAGGAGGAG